CACGAGCCUCUUCCUCAGGCAGAGCUCACACCGAGCCGCUCCUCAAAGAACUGGCAGAGCGCACCUGAGGGCCUGUGCAUAUAUCAGCUCCGCGCCACCCGGGAGAUUGACAUGAUAAUUGCGCUGGCUCUGAGAAGCACACAGGCUUCUGGGAAUUCUGGCCGGCCUGGUAGCGAGCGAACGCUUGGCUUGGGAUACGGUUAACAUCAGCGAGCUUCAAGGCAGCGGCGCUCUCUGAGGACAGCCGUAUCAUGUCAGAUGUCCUCGGGGAGAGAAGGGUGGAGGAGAUUGAAAAGUGAACCAGGGAAAGGAGGAUCCCAGAAAGUGACGGCACAGGAGCAGGAGGUAAACAGCCGAGUCGAGCGGUGGCGUGGCAGUGAGGAGGAGUGCGGUCUGAUGAAGAAAGAACUGGCAGCUCUGCAGCACAGACUGGGGAAUAAGAGUAGACAACUUAAGGUCUGGACAAAUUUACACUGGCACCACUUUUAAAGCUCUGCCUCUGUGCCUGUGACUCCGGGAAGAGAGGGAGGGGAAAAACUGACAAGCCCCUGGAGGCAAUCGCCUACGGCCUCAGAACCCCGGAUCGGGGCGCCAGCGACAGCAGAGCUCCGAAAAGCAGCUAACUUUCUCGAAUAAAUACUUAAUGAUGGCCAAGCAGGGGAAAAAGUGCGUAUGUGAUGUGACUUCUCCUUAAUUACCUUCUGAUGGGACUGGCAUGAUUAAUUGAUAAACUCAGCAUCAAAGGCAGGCUGGCAGGACUAAUGGGCCUGUGGAGGAGCUCUUCUCAUUAGAGCUAAAGAUGGCCUUCCUGCGUGGGUUUGGUUUGGCUUGCCCUGUCAGCGCAGGUAAGCUCCAGACGCCUCUCUCCGGCCCUGCCUGCUCAUCCCAGCACUGCGACCGUCUCUCGCUCUCUCUCCCCCGGCAGGAAGUGUGGAGGAGGCCAGGCGUGCCCUACAGGAAGCCAGACAACAAUUAGAUGCUCAGCACUCGGCCUCUCAGGCGGAGCUGGAGAGAUUGUGGGACCAAGAGGCCCUCAGCAGUUCCAGAGUCAAGAUUUGGAAAAGGAGCUGUUCAGAAGCAGACAGGACGAGCUGGAGACUGCUUUGUCCCUUCAGCUUUCUGCCGAAGAACGGGAAGAAGUCUGCCAAAUCAAUGUGUCCGUGUCCAGGCGUGAGCUCCAGGACCUGCAGCGUCUGUACAGGCCCGGCUCCUUCAGCAGCAGGAGGGCCUUAACCUGGACACGCAGAGAGUCCUGCGCAGCCGAGAGGAGGCCCACACGGCACACACCGUCUCCUUCCAGAAGCUCCACAGCGAGCUGAGCGUGUCAUACCAAGCCCAGGAAGAGCUCUGCCAGAGAGAUCAGCAGAUCCGAGAGCUCCAGGCACAGCUGCGGAGCUUCACAGCAGCCGUGGGGCACGCGAGAACGCCGGGAGUGAGAUGAGCAAACACUGGGCUGCUAACAAGAGCCUGAGGGCUCAGUUAGAUGAAAGAGAUCAGACGCUGAAGGAGCUGCACCAGAGGUAAAUGCUCUCUUUCACCCUUCUGCGGUCUUUCUCUUUCCCGUGCUGCGCGUCACGUGGGCAGCGUCUGAUUCCACCGUGCGGCCGACUCCAGCAGCGUCUCUAGAUCUCCAGACCCGUGAAGCUGGCUGUGGAUAGAGACA
ensembl:lncRNA